GCCCAGCCCAGCUCUUGUGCUUUUAUUUGUCAACACUUAUUUUUGUUUCCUGACACAAAGUGGAAACAUUUGGUCAGUGUUUUGGCUCGUGUCCCUGCUGUUUUCCCUGUCUCCUGCAGUGUCACAUGGAAGGACAUUCCAGGCUUUAUUUUUUGUCAUUCCUGACAGGCAUGAAGCUGUAAAAUAUUUGGGUGGCUGCUAACAGUGUUUUAAUCCCAGGAGAUGUUUUUUUCCCUGGCUCCAGGGCUGCCCUUUGGGUGAGGGAAUGUUCUCAAAACCUUCUGCAGAGCUGCUAAGAGCCAGGGCAGGCUGGAUCCAGGUGCUGUGAAUCCCUGUGCUUGUUCCUACUCCCAAGCUGCUCUUCCAUGCCUCUUUUCAGGUAGUUGAAGCUGAAAGAAUUGGUUUUGAACAGAGGCUUGGAGCCUGCCUGCUCGAGGGAACUUCACUGCACCCUUGAAGAAUUACCUAAUGUGGUGAGAUUCACUUGUCUGGUUACCUAAGUGCUUUGUUCCUGCUUUUCCAGAGAGGAAUUGCUGACUCCCAUCAAUGUGUGCUCUGAAAUUGUGUUUCCUGGAAUCUGCAUCCCUUCCCAAAUGCCAGAAGUCCAUUAGAGUAGAGCAAAAGACAUUAAAAAAGCCCCUUAGUUUAAUACUUUCACCUGCAGGGUUGAUAAAAAUUCCAUCCUUGCCCCAGAACUUCCUCUGUGACAUCUGCACAAUUCCAUUCCUCCCACAAACCAGCCACAAGGAUCCUUCCUGCUCUGGUUCCUGCUUAAAGCCCCUCAGGGCAGCUGCUGCCUGAAUAUUUACUCCAGCCAGGCUCGUGGGGGAAGAGCGAUACAAAGCAAACAGGGAAGUGCAGACAGAAAAUGCAUUAGAAAUGUUUGGAAAAGGCACUCCAAGGUCUCCCCAGGCUGGUCAGAGAGGAAAGUUUUCCAGGAUUGCAGCAGGCUGCUGUUAUUCCCUGGGCUGCUUUUUUGGAGUUUGUACCCAGCCCUACAUCGAUUGUGGAGAGGUGGCCCAGAGCCCUCUGUGUGCUCAUGGAAAACCUUCCAGCAAAACUUUUGUGACACAUUUCCUAUAGGAAACGGAACAGUGAUUGUUUCUGGGAAAAAUAAAAAAGCUGAACUAAAGACUCUUCUGCCCCAGCAGCAAAUAAAGAGAGCAUCAAAAUAUUUUAGUAUCAAGGCUUGCUUUCCAUCAGAUUUCCUCCUGCCCUUGCAAAAUGAUGCAGCAACAAAAAAAAAGUACCUAAAGGAAAGGGGGAUUUUCAGGAGCCUGUUGUGUUACCUGAGCGUGGAUUCAAUGAUCCAGCUGCUUGGGAAAUGCAGUUUUGCUGGAAUUGUUACCAAGGGAAGCCUUGCUGGGAUGUUUCAGUGCCUGCUCUGGUUUCAUCCUUCCCUAGGAGUGACUUUUAGGAAGAGUUCAGUGACUACUGAGGCAGAAAAUCAACUGAUCCUUUUGUCAGGAGCUUUUUCUCUCAGGGGCAGGAUGAGGCUUCUCCAGGGCAGUCCAGGGGAUGAGGCCAGAGCCUGUCUUGCCACAAAAAGUCAAAAUUCCUUUUCUGGGCAAUGCCUGCCUUGGUGAAGUGCUGUGUCGAACACUGUAGGCCGGCCUGCAGGGAGAGCAUUGUAGGGCGGCCUGAAGAGGGGCUUAGAUCAACCUGAACUGUUCCUAGACUGGGCUGAAAUGGGGUUUAGACUGGCCUGGAGAGGGGUUUAGGCUGGUUUACAGUGGGGGUUUUGGAUAAACCUGAGCUGUUGUUGGACCAGCCUGAAGCGGGGCUUUAGCCUUUCCUGAAGUGUGUUGUUGUUAGACCAUGCCUGAAGCUUUAGACCAGCCUAACACCAUCCCAGCUCUUCCCUCUUCAUCCCUUGGCUGAAAAAUCCCCCAAACCAGUGGCAGGUUGGGAAAGAGGGAAUUCUUUUUGGGGUCAGAGUGGCUUUUAGGAGCACCUGAUUGUGUUGACCAUAAAUCUUUUUCGCUGCUGCAUCUCUUUGUUUUUCUGGGCUUUAUUUGGAGGGUGAGUUACCCCCCAACUCCAUAAUCUGGGGAAAUUUUCUCCUUCACUUCUUUUCUUCCUCCCCAGAACAACAAUUUGAAGGCAAUAAAGCAAAACACAAACUCUG
ensembl:lncRNA